AAAAAAAUUGAAAAUAUUUUUCUACAGCAUGCACGUGAUCUACAUUGUCCGUAUAUUGUAAAUGAUUCCAUUAAGCUGAUUUUAUCCAGGCUAUUGUUGGUAAAAUUAGCAAUUGUUACUGUUUUAAGUGACUCGCUGACUCAAAAAGAUGUAUUUUUAGCUCACCCGGGGGGGGGGGGUCCAAUAUUACAAACGAAAAGCCUUUAAAUUUUUCACAAAAACUUAAAUGUAAUUAUAUGUGGUUUUUUUAAAGCAAGCAUUUUGACAUAUUGAUGAUUCUUUAAAAUUGUAUAGACUCUGGCCCCUGGAAUUUCUUUAUUGGUUCAAAAUUUGAUUUAGAUUUAUAAAUCAUUCAUAAACAGUUGUUUAAGAUCUUCUCGAGGACUUAAAUGCUCAAUAUGUGAUAUGGCUGUAAAGUCAUCCGGUUACAAAGGGCUCAAUGAUAAACAUAGGAACAUACCGGGAAUUUUUUUUUACAGGAUCUUUUAUAUGACAUUGUUCAGUUAUUUUGUAUAUGACUCCAUAAAGCUGGUUUUAUUAUGUAUAUUGUUGCUCUGGUGGGAGAUGUGGCCCAUGGGCCUAUUGUUGAUUAUGAUGCAUCACCAUGUCUCUUAAUAACCAGCCAGGUAUAAGCAUAAAAAAGUCCACAUGUGUACAAGAUUGUUAGUGCAUCCACAUUUUAUAUUGUUAAUUUUACUUCAUUACAUUAUUAUUACAAUGCAAUUUAAACUCAGGGGACCAGUAUGGUUUUUAUAAUUCGAUCUGGGAUCUGAAUAAUUGUCACAUAUAUACAUAUAAAUUUGCAUUUAGUAUGUUUAUUUAAUGAUGAUCAGCAAGUGUUGUUAUUUAAAUACAGGCUGGUCUUUACAAUAAAAAUAGCAUUGGGUUUUUUCGAGCUCACCUUUAAUUGUCGUUAAGGAUCUUAUGUGCUAUUUGUGGGUACAUGGAUGUGUUGUUGGCUAGUAGAAUCAUUUGAAUCACUUUGUGCAUCCUGACUGCAAAAUGUGUACUUAACAAGUUUAUAAUUCAAUGAUUGUUUCAACAUUUUUCUUAGCAAACUUCAUAAUGAUUUACUAGUGCUUUUGAUGUAGCAUACCUAAUAUUAAAUUAUGUACUAUCUUGUAUUAUGUCGAUGUAAUAAAUAAAUAAAUCAAUUAUUUC
rnacentral:sRNA from 1 species